rnacentral:rRNA from 1 species
UUAAAUUGAAGAGUUUGAUCAUGGCUCAGAUUGAACGCUGGCGGCAGGCCUAACACAUGCAAGUCGAACGGUAACAGGAAGCAGCUUGCUGCUUUGCUGACGAGUGGCGGACGGGUGAGUAAUGUCUGGGAAACUGCCUGAUGGAGGGGGAUAACUACUGGAAACGGUGGCUAAUACCGCAUAACGUCGCAAGACCAAAGAGGGGGACCUUCGGGCCUCUUGCCAUCAGAUGUGCCCAGAUGGGAUUAGCUUGUUGGUGAGGUAACGGCUCACCAAGGCGACGAUCCCUAGCUGGUCUGAGAGGAUGACCAGCCACACUGGAACUGAGACACGGUCCAGACUCCUACGGGAGGCAGCAGUGGGGAAUAUUGCACAAUGGGCGCAAGCCUGAUGCAGCCAUGCCGCGUGUAUGAAGAAGGCCUUCGGGUUGUAAAGUACUUUCAGCGGGGAGGAAGGUGUUGUGGUUAAUAACCGCAGCAAUUGACGUUACCCGCAGAAGAAGCACCGGCUAACUCCGUGCCAGCAGCCGCGGUAAUACGGAGGGUGCAAGCGUUAAUCGGAAUUACUGGGCGUAAAGCGCACGCAGGCGGUCUGUCAAGUCGGAUGUGAAAUCCCCGGGCUCAACCUGGGAACUGCAUUCGAAACUGGCAGGCUUGAGUCUUGUAGAGGGGGUAGAAUUCCAGGUGUAGCGGUGAAAUGCGUAGAGAUCUGGAGGAAUACCGGUGGCGAAGGCGGCCCCCUGGACAAAGACUGACGCUCAGGUGCGAAAGCGUGGGGAGCAAACAGGAUUAGAUACCCUGGUAGUCCACGCCGUAAACGAUGUCUACUUGGAGGUUGUGCCCUUGAGGCGUGGCUUCCGGAGCUAACGCGUUAAGUAGACCGCCUGGGGAGUACGGCCGCAAGGUUAAAACUCAAAUGAAUUGACGGGGGCCCGCACAAGCGGUGGAGCAUGUGGUUUAAUUCGAUGCAACGCGAAGAACCUUACCUGGUCUUGACAUCCACAGAAGAAUCCAGAGAUGGAUUUGUGCCUUCGGGAACUGUGAGACAGGUGCUGCAUGGCUGUCGUCAGCUCGUGUUGUGAAAUGUUGGGUUAAGUCCCGCAACGAGCGCAACCCUUAUCCUUUGUUGCCAGCGGUUAGGCCGGGAACUCAAAGGAGACUGCCAGUGAUAAACUGGAGGAAGGUGGGGAUGACGUCAAGUCAUCAUGGCCCUUACGACCAGGGCUACACACGUGCUACAAUGGCGCAUACAAAGAGAAGCGACCUCGCGAGAGCAAGCGGACCUCAUAAAGUGCGUCGUAGUCCGGAUUGGAGUCUGCAACUCGACUCCAUGAAGUCGGAAUCGCUAGUAAUCGUGGAUCAGAAUGCCACGGUGAAUACGUUCCCGGGCCUUGUACACACCGCCCGUCACACCAUGGGAGUGGGUUGCAAAAGAAGUAGGUAGCUUAACCUUCGGGAGGGCGCUUACCACUUUGUGAUUCAUGACUGGGGUGAAGUCGUAACAAGGUAACCGUAGGGGAACCUGCGGUUGGAUCACCUCCUUACCUUAAAGAAGC